CCUACGGGUGGCUGCAGUGGGGAAUAUUGCACAAUGGGGGAAACCCUGAUGCAGCGACGCCGCGUGAGUGAAGACGUAUUUCGGUAUGUAAAGCUCUAUCAGCAGGGAAGAAAAUGACGGUACCUGCUUACGCAUCCCCGGCUAACUACGUUCCAGCAGCCGCGGUACUACGUAGGGGGCAAGCGUUAUCCGGAUUUACUGGGUGUCAAGGGAGCGUAGGCGGAAGAUCAAGUCAGCGGUAAAAUUGAGAGGCUCAACCUCUUCGAGCCGUUGAAACUGGUUUUCUUGAGUGAGGGAGAAGUAUGCGGAAUGCGUGGUGUAGCGGUGAAAUGCAUAGAUAUCACGCAGAACUCCGAUUGCGAAGGCAGCAUACCGGAGUGCAACUGACGCUCAUGCACGAAAGUGUGGGUAUCGAACAGGAUUAGAUACCCGGGUAGUC
rnacentral:rRNA from 1 species